rnacentral:misc_RNA from 1 species
GAUGAGGAACGUAGCGAAAUGCGAUAAGUAAUGUGAAUUGCAGAAUUCAGUGAAUCAUCGAAUCUUUGAACGCACAUUGCACCUCUCGGUAUUCCGGGAGGUAUGCCUGUUCGAGCGUCAUUUGUACCCUCAAGCUCUGCUUGGUGUUGGGUGUUUGUUCCGCCUCUGUGUGUGAACUCGCCUCAAAACAAUUGGCAGCCGGCGUACUUGUUUCGGAGCGCAGCACAUUUUGCGAUCCAGAUCAACGUACAGCGGCAUCCAAGAAGCCUUAUUUAACGCUCUUGACCUCGGAUCAGGUAGGGAUACCCGCUGAACUUAAGCAUAUCAAUAAGCGGAGGA